AGAGAGAGACAUGCGCGCAUAUCAAUAAGCGGAGGAAAAGAAACUAACAAGGAUUCCCCUAGUAACGGCGAGUGAAGCGGGAAGAGCUCAAAUUUGAAAUCUUAAAGGGUUUCCCUUUACGAAUUGUAGUUUAAAGAAGUGUUUUCUGUUGAGGUUUUGGUAAAAGUUCUUUGGAAUAGGACAUCAUAGAGGGUGAGAAUCCCGUAUUUGACCUUUACUUUCAACUUUGUGAUACACUUUCAAAGAGUCGGAUUGUUUGGGAAUGCAGUCCAAAAUGGGUGGUAAAUUUCAUCUAAAGCUAAAUAUUGGCGAGAGACCGAUAGCGAACAAGUACCGUGAGGGAAGAUGAAAAGAACUUUGAAAAGAGAGUUAAACAGUACGUGAAAUUGUCAAAAGGGAAGCGUUUGACACCAGUGUUGUUUUUCCGAAAAUCAAUUACGAAUGUUUUGUUUUUGAGGAGUUAUGACUUCAUCGGCUUGCUUCUCUCUUUACGAAACUUUCUUAAUGCACUUUUCGGUUAACAAGUCAACAUCAAUUUCUUUUGUUGUAAAAGGGUACGAGGAAGGUGGCUUUCUUUUCGGAGAAAGUGUUUAUAGCCUCUUGCCUAUGCAGUCGGAGAGAUUGAGGUCUGCAGCGUAGAUCCUUCGGGGCUAAAUGCAUUUGUGCUAAGUUAUAGCAUUUUAUAGACAACUUGUUGACUAUGAUUUGUCUUGUAGCUUACUCGCUUAUGUUAUUUUACCUACGCUUAGGAUGUUGAC
rnacentral:rRNA from 1 species